rnacentral:tRNA from 1 species
UCCUGGGUAGGCCAAUUGGUAGAGCAUCAGAUUUUUAAUCUGAGGGUCCAGGGUUCAAGUAGUUAUCCAGGCG